ACACCGAGGCCUCCGGCUGCCGUCCCAUCAUUGGCGACCACAGGGGCAGCCGAACACACACUCUCGGCGACAAAUAAGGUCGUCGGGCUGCAGCCCCAGCAACGCCAGCAGCAACACAGGCGAGGCUGCUUUCCGCCUUGCUGCUGGAUUUUCGGAUGGGCGUCACAUCCGCCCAUGCUGCAGCCCCAGCUUCAUCGGGCGAGGACGCAUUCCGCCCAGCUGCAGCAGCAGCACGGCAAGGAUCCAUCGGCGACGAGCAAUACCGCCCGGCUCGAGCUCAGCACAUUAUCGGCGAGGCACAAAUUCCGCCGCGGCUCGAGCCCUGCCUCUCACCACGGCGACGUAACAUUCCGCCUCGGUAGCACAACAGGAUCGGCAACGCACAAGUUGCAUCGACUGUAACACAGCAGUCCACAUCGGCGCGAACGCUUUCGCCCUGGCUGCAGUUGAACAGGCGUUGCCAAUUGCGCCUCAGCUACAGCCACAGUGUCCAGAGGGACGAGGUAGCAUGCCGUCCCGGCUGCAGUCGAACGGGCGUCGCCAAUUGCCCCCGACUGCAGCCACAGCAUAAAAGAAGCACGAUGAGCCAAAGCAUCAUAGGAGGGCGAGGAACCAUGCCGCCUGAUUAUUUUCAUCUCUGCCGCCCGUCAUCGAAAAAAAUACAUCGCUGCUGCCCUGGGGCAAGGAUCAUCAUCGUUAUCAUCAUCGCGGCAUCAUCAUCAUCGUCAUCAUCAUCGCGGCAUCAUCAUCAUCGUCAUCACCAUCGUCAUCAUCAUCGCCGUCAUACCAUCGCCGUCACACCAUCGCCGCCGUCCCAGGGAGCCGCACAGCAGCAGCAUCACCGCCGCGUUAUCGCCAUCGCGGUGAGGAUCGAGAGCAGCAGCAAGCGCUGCAUAGCGCGACAACAUCGGGGACCCAAAAUCUCAGCAGCAUCAGCCGGAAGGCUGAUCCACUGCCAAUCGUUCGGCAGGUUUUGUGAUUUUUUGUGCUGUGAAGAUUACAGCUGGCUCUCACAACCGUCCGGAAGUCGCAGUAAUUUGGUAACAUAAAGAUCAUCACCACCGCACGAAGCGCAGCAUAUUGAAGCAAGCCCAAGCGGACAGCAACCACCUGCAGCAAACGUACGCCGAACGAAUGGACGUGGUAGACGCGUUAUGAUUGCAAGGCGAUAUUUGCGCUCUGAAAAUGCUAGCACAGAUGUUUGAGCCACAGAGGUGACGUUCCGAGAGUGUAAAAACUUGCCGGGCCCACAGUUUCAGAUAAGCCGUUCUCAUCAUGUACGGUCGGUUAGUUACACUUCAUAACGAAGGACAAUCACAUCUGGUUAACGGAAUGCUGCCAAAACGAUGAAGCUGGCUUAGCCCUCGAUGACGACGCAACUCCUGCACGUUCGUCGUCAUACUAUCAUUUCAACUGGAGGCAUGUUUGUUUUAGGCGGCUACAACAUGUUGUUUGAACAUGUUGAAUACAACAAACAUGUUGAUAAUGGUGAAUGCUGGAACUCCGUGAUACCCGUUUUCGUGCGCUGAAUAAGGUUUGUAUGAAAAAUAGUGUAUUUUUAGAAUAUUUUAUUUUUCAAUAAAGUAACGGUAAAUUUGAAAUACACUGUG